GAUGAACGCUGGCGGCGUGCCUAAUACAUGCAAGUCGAGCGAACAGACGAGGAGCUUGCUCCUCUGACGUUAGCGGCGGACGGGUGAGUAACACGUGGAUCACCUACCUAUAAGACUGGGAUAACUUCGGGAAACCGGAGCUAAUACCGGAUAAUAUAUUGAACCGCAUGGUUCAAUAGUGAAAGACGGUUUUGCUGUCACUUAUAGAUGGAUCCGCGCCGGAUUAGCUAGUUGGUAAGGUAACGGCUUACCAAGGCAACGAUGCGUAGCCGACCUGAGAGGGUGAUCGGCCACACUGGAACUGAGACACGGUCCAGACUCCUACGGGAGGCAGCAGUAGGGAAUCUUCCGCAAUGGGCGAAAGCCUGACGGAGCAACGCCGCGUGAGUGAUGAAGGUCUUCGGAUCGUAAAACUCUGUUAUUAGGGAAGAACAAAUGUGUAAGUAACUAUGCACGUCUUGACGGUACCUAAUCAGAAAGCCACGGCUAACUACGUG
rnacentral:rRNA from 1 species